AGGGCACUACAAGAAAACGAAAAUACCACACAGCGCAUACAAGGAGGACCUCUAUUUGAGCCCGGGCUUCCAGUUCUAGUUCAAUCUCUUCCUCCUCCUUCCCCCUCUCUUCAGCCUUCCUAAGAGGACCCCUGCCCGGUGAUCCUCUCCCCCUUCUGCUGGUAAGAUUUCAGGAGGAGAUGCUUGGAUUCACCACACUCGUCUAAAGCCCUGGCGAGCUCCAGACAAUCCUCAGAAGGAAGGAGACAAGUACAUUUGUGAGCCUAUUGAAGACCUACAAUUCCUCUUCAAGAAGUUCAGAGAAGUGCUCCACCCCUUAAACAUCUCAUAACAACACCAUGACCCCUAGGGCUUUAAUAUUUCUAUAUCUCACACUCUUAUGGUGCCGGCCGCCACGGGGAAUCCUCGAGUGGGUUCCAUUAAUUGCCGCUGCCUUUAUCUUAACUGACUGCUGGAUCUGUGGGAAGGAUUCUUUAGGCACAGUCGUCCCAGCCCCCACGUCUGUGUGGCUCUGAGCCAAUGACACUGUCACCCCCUUCAUCUCCUCUACCAGUCCUUUCCCCGGCGCUCACAUUGAAUGAAUGGCUGUUCUUCAAAGCCUGGAAGGACGAUACGGAAACUAAAAGGAACAACACCCCUUGGUCCAGUGGUACCCUCACCCUCGCCCGGUUGGACCGACUCCACCUCAACGCCAGUGCCGUCUUCCCAAUCUGCUUUGAAAAUUCAACGUCCAUCCCACACCCGGGUCUCUUCACAGGGUCCGAAGGGUGGCUAUUGCUCCUCUUCUGGUCUCUUUGUUCACUGGAUUGUCGGGAGCGUCUGGAACAGCCCUAGGAGGCACCUCCGUAGACCUCUCAGCACAACUGGCCAAGGCAUUGAGGGAGACCAUCAAGGGGAUACAAACACCCGCGGAGCAGGUGAACUCCUUGGCAGGAGUCACACUUCAAAACCGACAGGCCUAUGGGGCGCCUGGGUGGCUCAGUCGGUUAAGCAUCUGACUUCGGCUCAGGUCGUGAUCUCACGGUUCAUGGGUUUGAGCCCCACCUCAGGCUCUGUGCUGACAGCUCAGAGGCUGGAGCCUGCUUCACAUUCUGUGUCUCCCUCUCUCUCUCCCUGUCCCUCGCUCAUGCUCGCUCGCUCUCUCAAAAAUGAAUAA
rnacentral:lncRNA from 1 species